rnacentral:rRNA from 1 species
GAAUACCCGCUGAACUUAAGCAUAUCAAUAAGCGGAGGAAAAGAAACCAACAGGGAUUGCCUUAGUAGCGGCGAGUGAAGCGGCAAUAGCUCAAAUUUGAAAUCUGGCGCCUUCGGUGUCCGAGUUGUAAUUUGAAGAAGGUAUCUUUGGUUUUGGCUCUUGUCUAUGUUCCUUGGAACAGGACGUCACAGAGGGUGAGAAUCCCGUGCGAUGAGAUGCCCAAUUCCAUGUAAAGUUCCUUCGACGAGUCGAGUUGUUUGGGAAUGCAGCUCUAAGUGGGUGGUAAAUUCCAUCUAAAGCUAAAUAUUGGCGAGAGACCGAUAGCGAACAAGUACUGUGAAGGAAAGAUGAAAAGAACUUUGAAAAGAGAGUGAAAAAGUACGUGAAAUUGUUGAAAGGGAAGGGCUUGAGAUUAGACUUGGAAUUUUCCAUUUUUGGAGCUUUCCGGGCCAGCAUCAGUUUGGAUGGCAGGAUAAUUGCGUUGGAAAGUAACACUACUUCGGUGGUGUAUUAUAGACUUCGUCGAUACUGCCUAUCUAGACUGAGGACCG